CACGUAGGGCGCAAGCGUUGUCCGGAAUUAUUGGGCGUAAAGAGCUCGUAGGCGGUCUGUUACGUCUGCUGUGAAAACCCGGGGCUUAACCCUGGGCUUGCAGUGGAUACGGGCAGACUGGAGGCAGGUAGGGGAGAAUGGAAUUCCCGGUGUAGCGGUGAAAUGCGCAGAUAUCGGGAGGAACACCGGUGGCGAAGGCGGUUCUCUGGGCCUGACCUGACGCUGAGGAGCGAAAGCGUGGGGAGCGAACAGG
rnacentral:rRNA from 1 species